UGUUUCGGCAAGGGGGUCAUCCCGACUUACCAACCCGAUGCAAACUGCGAAUACCGGAGAAUGUUAUCACGGGAGACACACGGCGGGUGCUAACGUCCGUCGUGAAGAGGGAAACAACCCAGACCGCCAGCUAAGGUCCCAAAGUCAUGGUUAAGUGGGAAACGAUGUGGGAAGGCCCAGACAGCCAGGAUGUUGGCUUAGAAGCAGCCAUCAUUUAAAGAAAGCGUAAUAGCUCACUGGUCGAGUCGGCCUGCGCGGAAGAUGUAACGGGGCUAAACCAUGCACCGAAGCUGCGGCAGCGACGCUGAUGCGUUGUUGGGUAGGGGAGCGUUCUGUAAGCCUGUGAAGGUGUGCUGUGAGGUAUGCUGGAGGUAUCAGAAGUGCGAAUGCUGACAUAAGUAACGAUAAAGCGGGUGAAAAGCCCGCUCGCCGGAAGACCAAGGGUUCCUGUCCAACGUUAAUCGGGGCAGGGUGAGUCGACCCCUAAGGCGAGGCCGAAAGGCGUAGUCGAUGGGAAACAGGUUAAUAUUCCUGUACUUGGUGUUACUGCGAAGGGGGGACGGAGAAGGCUAUGUUGGCCGGGCGACGGUUGUCCCGGUUUAAGCGUGUAGGCUGGUUUUCCAGGCAAAUCCGGAAAACUAAGGCUGAGGCGUGAUGACGAGGCACUACGGUGCUGAAGCAACAAAUGCCCUGCUUCCAGGAAAAGCCUCUAAGCAUCAGGUAACAUCAAAUCGUACCCCAAACCGACACAGGUGGUCAGGUAGAGAAUACCAAGGCGCUUGAGAGAACUCGGGUGAAGGAACUAGGCAAAAUGGUGCCGUAACUUCGGGAGAAGGCACGCUGAUAUGUAGGUGAAGUCCCUCGCGGAUGGAGCUGAAAUCAGUCGAAGAUACCAGCUGGCUGCAACUGUUUAUUAAAAACACAGCACUGUGCAAACACGAAAGUGGACGUAUACGGUGUGACGCCUGCCCGGUGCCGGAAGGUUAAUUGAUGGGGUCAGCGCAAGCGAAGCUCUUGAUCGAAGCCCCGGUAAACGGCGGCCGUAACUAUAACGGUCCUAAGGUAGCGAAAUUCCUUGUCGGGUAAGUUCCGACCUGCACGAAUGGCGUAAUGAUGGCCAGGCUGUCUCCACCCGAGACUCAGUGAAAUUGAACUCGCUGUGAAGAUGCAGUGUACCCGCGGCAAGACGGAAAGACCCCGUGAACCUUUACUAUAGCUUGACACUGAACAUUGAGCCUUGAUGUGUAGGAUAGGUGGGAGGCUUUGAAGUGUGGACGCCAGUCUGCAUGGAGCCGACCUUGAAAUACCACCCUUUAAUGUUUGAUGUUCUAACGUUGACCCGUAAUCCGGGUUGCGGACAGUGUCUGGUGGGUAGUUUGACUGGGGCGGUCUCCUCCUAAAGAGUAACGGAGGAGCACGAAGGUUGGCUAAUCCUGGUCGGACAUCAGGAGGUUAGUGCAAUGGCAUAAGCCAGCUUGACUGCGAGCGUGACGGCGCGAGCAGGUGCGAAAGCAGGUCAUAGUGAUCCGGUGGUUCUGAAUGGAAGGGCCAUCGCUCAACGGAUAAAAGGUACUCCGGGGAUAACAGGCUGAUACCGCCCAAGAGUUCAUAUCGACGGCGGUGUUUGGCACCUCGAUGUCGGCUCAUCACAUCCUGGGGCUGAAGUAGGUCCCAAGGGUAUGGCUGUUCGCCAUUUAAAGUGGUACGCGAGCUGGGUUUAGAACGUCGUGAGACAGUUCGGUCCCUAUCUGCCGUGGGCGCUGGAGAACUGAGGGGGGCUGCUCCUAGUACGAGAGGACCGGAGUGGACGCAUCACUGGUGUUCGGGUUGUCAUGCCAAUGGCACUGCCCGGUAGCUAAAUGCGGAAGAGAUAAGUGCUGAAAGCAUCUAAGCACGAAACUUGCCCCGAGAUGAGUUCUCCCUGACUCCUUGA
rnacentral:rRNA from 1 species